AACGAACGCUGGCGGCAGGCUUAACACAUGCAAGUCGAGCGGAAAGGCCCCUUCGGGGGUACUCGAGCGGCGAACGGGUGAGUAACACGUGGGUAAUCUGCCCAGGACACAGGAAUAACCAGCGGAAACGCUGGCCAAUGCCUGAUGACGUGCCGGCCCUGCCGGGCCAGUACCAAAGGUAGCUUCGGCCUCAGGUCUUGGAUGAGCCCGCGGCCCAUUAGCUUGUUGGUGAGGUAACGGCUCACCAAGGCCCCGUUGGGUAGCUGGUCUGAGACGACGAUCUCCCCCACUGGGACUGACACACGGCCCAGGCUCCUACGGGAGGCAGCAGUGGGCAAUCUUGCGCAAUGGGCGGAAGCCUGACGCAGCAACGCCGCGUGCGGGACGAAGGUCUUAGGGUUGUAAACCGCUUUCAGCAGGGACGAAGGAGUCCGGGUUAAUAGCCCGGAGGUUGACGGUACCUGCAGAAGAAGGUCCGGCUAACUACGUGCCAGC
rnacentral:rRNA from 1 species